AAGCAUAUCAAUAAGCGGAGGAAAAGAAACCAACAGGGAUUGCCCCAGUAACGGCGAGUGAAGCGGCAAAAGCUCAGAUUUGAAAUCUGGUGUCAUCUUGGCAUCCGAGUUGUAAUCUGUAGAGGAGUUUUUAGGAGUAUUGCUUUGGUUAAAGUUCCUUGGGAAAGGGCAUCAUAGAGGGUGAGAAUCCUGUUUAUGACCUUUGCACAUCUCUAUUAUAAAUCUCCUUCAAUGAGUCGAGUUGUUUGGGAAUGCAGCUCUAAAUGGGUGGUAAAUUCCAUCUAAAGCUAAAUAUUGGCAAGAGACCGAUAGCGCACAAGUAGAGUGAUCGAAAGAUGAAAAGAACUCUGAACAGAGAGUUAAAGAGUACGUGAAAUUGUUGAAAGGGAAGCACUUGUGACCAGAUGAAAUUGCAAUUGAUCAACCAUCAAUUCUUGGUGGCGCACUCAAUUGCCAGCGGGUUAGCAUCAGUUAUAGCAGCAGGACAAAGCCCAAAAGAAUGUAGCUCCUCUUUGAGGAGUGUUAUAGCUUUUAGUUUAAUACUGCUUGUUACAACUGAGGACAGCACUUGAAGUGAGGAUGCUGACAUAAUGGUUAUAAGUGACCCGUCUUGAAACACGGACCAAGGAGUCUAACAUCUAUGCGAGUAUUUGGGUUCAAGCCCUUAUGCACAAUGAAAGUAAAUGGAGGUGGAAACCAUUUGGUGCACCAUCGACCGAUCCUGAAGUUUUCUGAUGGAUUUGAGUAGGAGCAUAGCUGUUGGGACCCGAAAGAUGGUGAACUAUGCCUGAAUAGGGUGAAGCCAGAGGAAACUCUGGUGGAGGCUCGCAGCGGUUCUGACGUGCAAAUCGAUCGUCAAAUUUGGGUAUAGGGGCGAAAGACUAAUCGAACCAUCUAGUAGCUGGUUCCGGCCGAAGUU
rnacentral:rRNA from 2 species